CUUUUUCUGUACAAGUAAGGAAUGCUAUUCUUUCACUUUAUGGUUAAGAUCUCAUUUUCCUAUUUGCUAUGUAAAUUUGAGAGUGUUCUAAGCAUAGCAAGGAGCCAGUGUGAGAAAUUGAUCACAUCUCAUGUAUUGAAUGCUUUAAAAUGUUCAAAGCCCUUUCUCAUUGAUUUUUUUUUUUAAUUCUCAACUUUAUCUUUGUGAAAGAUAUUGAACAGCUAUUUUUGCCCCACUAACUGUAAACUUCUGGGAGCAGGGACAUGUCACAAUACCUUUACAUUCUUUACACCUAGAGUAGUUCCUGGCAAAUACUUGAUGCACAAUACAGUUUAUAAAAAGUGAAUAAAUAAGCAAAUAGUGGCACAAAUAGUAAAGUGAUUUGUGAAAAGUCACAAUUUGAGUCAAUGGCAGAGACAAAAAUUGGACUUUCUGACUUCUAAACUAUUUUCAACCUGGGAAAAUACAAUAAUCAGUAGCAAAGGGCCUGAAAAUGAGGUGGCACAGCCUUCUUUAUGUAAAAAAGGUCCUGAAAAUGAGGUGGCACAGCUUUACGUGCAAUGAAGGAGUGUGUGGAGAGGGCUAGUGUGUGUGUGCAUGUGGAGAGGGCUAGUGUGGUGUAAAAGUUAUAUAAUUGAAAGAUGCACAAGUUAGGACAGAAAAGAGUCAGUGCAAAUUGUGUGGGGAGUAUAGAACUAAGUUACCCUCAGCAGACAGACUAGUUUAAUUGGCAGCAAUUCCUUGAUGCAGAAUCAGAGUUUCAGGGACUUUCAGUGAAAUCAGAAUCUUUACAUCGAUGUGAAAUUACAUUCUUUAUUGUGGUAAAAUAAACAUAAUAUAAAAUAUACCUGUAUAGCCAUGUGAUUCAUCAAAAAAUUAAAAAUAGAAUUGUCAUAGAAUCCACUAAUUUUGCUGCUGAAUAUAUACCCCAAAGCAAUGAAAGCAGCAACUUAAACAGAUACCUGUACACCCAGGUUCAUAGCAGCACCAUUCAAAAUAGCCAAAAAGUAAAAGCAACCUAAGUGUCCAUCAAUGGAUAAGUGGAUAAUCAAAAUGUAAUAAAUACAUACAAUGAAAUAUUAUGCAGCCUUAAGUAGGAAAUAAAUUUUGACAUAUGCUACAUCAUGGAUUAAUCUUGAAGACAUUAUGCUACGUGAUAUAAGCCAGUCAGAAAAGGGCAAAUACUGUAUGAAGUUAAUUUUAAAACAGUCUAAAAAAUAUGUCAGAAAGCAUUCUUGCCGAUAUCCUUGUUCCUUUCAUUAGAAUUUUAUCUUUCUCAAAACAUGAAAUUUACUCUUGACUCAUACUUUUUUUUCCAAUCCCCUCUAUUGUAGUGAAAUAGAAUAACCAAAAGCAGUUAUUGUGUUGUCCUGGGUUUGGCAUCAAAAAUAACUCCAGAUGUGUAUCUGAAAUGUCAGACUAUCGGGAUUGUGUAAAAUCUAAUUCUUGCAAAAGGAUAUGCCCCAUUUUGAAAGUAAAUAUGCCAUAG
rnacentral:lncRNA from 1 species